UACGUGGGGGGGCGAGCGUUGUCCGGAAUCAUUGGGCGUAAAGAGCGUGUAGGCGGCUUGGAAAGUCUUACGUGAAAGCCUGCGGCUCAACCGCAGAAGUGCGUAGGAAACUUCCUCGCUAGAGUCCGGAAGAGGAGAGCGGAAUUCCUGGUGUAGCGGUGGAAUGCGCAGAUAUCAGGAGGAACACCGGUGGCGAAGGCGGUUCUCUGGGCAUGUCCUGACGCUGAGGAGCGAAAGUGUGGGGAGCGAACAGG
rnacentral:rRNA from 1 species